ACUUGCUAAGAAGAGCAACACACAGGAAAAUAGACCAGACCACACAGCGUCAUGUGGACUUGGAUGUCCUCACCAGCAAAAGGCAGGUGACGAGGUGAAGAUUAAAGGAGAUGCCAGAAGUAUGCUCAGCCUAGUUCCUGGCUCAGGGGAAGACGAAAGACCUGGAUGGACCACGACUUUGAGAUGCAGCCACACAGAGCUUCCAGCCCUGGAAACUCCUUCUCUCGCAGCCACCUGCUGGGGCGCCCUGCCCGCCCCACAAAGCUCCCUGGAGGGGUGUCCCCGCUCAUCCCUGUCCUCAGGAAGACCAUCCGUCUGGAUGCCUUCCCCCAGAGUCACAUCUCGCAGGCUUCCAGCCGACCAGGCCUUGGAGCCAGGGCCCGGAGUAUGCCUCCACAGGACACUGAUAAUAGCCUUGUGCCCAGGAAGCUCAGCUCCAUCUCCUUAACGCUCCGUCAGAACAGCCAGGCAUGGUCCCUGGGUCCCCUACCCUCUCACUGGGAAGAGUUGCCCACCUCAGGCAGGGAGGCUGCCACUCAGGGAGGAGGGAGGCUGCCCACUCCAGGCUCACCAUCUGUGACCCUGGUGCCAGGGGUCAGGGUCCACUCCGAGGGCCCAGGGAACCCAGGUCUGGCCAAACCCAGCAGGAUGCCCAUAGUGGAGAAGCCCCUGGUGAGUUCCUACCUGGCCCUACCGUUCCAAUCCCGGUUAGCCCAGAAUCCUCCGGGCCCUGCAGGGUCAGGCUCAGUGGGUCAGAAGCACCCUGUCCCAGUGACUGCCCAUAUGCCUACUAGAGGUUCCCCAGGAAGAGGCAAGUCCCGGUCCAGGGGUAUCCCAAGACCCCGGGUGCAUCUCCAAAGGGCCACCUCUGCCAUGGGGCCUGUGAUGGCCAUGGAUUUACCUACUCUGGACACAAUGAAGCCAGGCACAGCCAGACAUUUAGCUACAAUGGCCACCAACAGACCUAGGUUGGGUAUCAAUUUGGCCACAUCAAACACAUCCAGACUGGACACAGGUACAGAGUUCCCUGCUCUGGAUACCAAACUGGGCACAGCCAUAGCCUUGACUACAGCAGAAACAACUGAGCUGGGCGUAGUCAUGGACUUGGUAACCCCAGAGCCAGAGAAGCUGGGAAAAGUCAUAGCUACAGCAUGCACAGCCAAGCCAGAGGCAACCACGGAGGGCACAACUGUGGAUCUGGCAGCACCAGUCCCAGUCAAGCCGGGUACAGCCAGGCCGGACACAGCCAUGGCUUUGGCUAGAGCAAAUACAACCAAACCGGACAGAACUAUGGAUUCUCUUGCUCUCGACACAAGGAAGCGGGGUACAGCCAUGGGUUCGGUUGUGCCGGUCACCCAAGACUCAGCCACUGGGGGGACCACACUGGAUAGUGUCAUUAACCUGACCACAUCAGCCACCUACCCACUGAUGCCAAGCAGAAGCAUAGACCCAGCCCUGGACUAUGCUACAGAAGAUGGUGCCACAGACCGGGCCACAGAGCCCUCCACACUGGACCUGGCCAGAGAAAUCAAAGGGCUCCCAGAGACCAGGACGGACGCAGCCAUGUCAGAGCUGGUGCCUGAGCCCAGGCCUAAGCCAGCAGUGCCCAUGAAGCCCGUAAGCAUCAACUCCAACCUGCUGGGCUACAUUGGCAUCGACACCAUCAUUGAGCAGAUGCGCAAGAAGACCAUGAAGACUGGUUUCGACUUCAACAUCAUGGUCGUCGGCCAGAGUGGGCUGGGAAAGUCAACACUGGUCAACACGCUCUUUAAAUCCCAAGUGAGCCGCAAGGCCUCCAGCUGGAACCGGGAGGAGAAGAUUCCCAAGACAGUGGAGAUCAAAGCUAUCGGGCACGUGAUAGAGGAAGGCGGUGUCAAAAUGAAGCUGACCGUCAUCGACACUCCGGGCUUUGGAGACCAGAUCAACAAUGAAAACUGCUGGGAACCCAUUGAGAAGUACAUCAAUGAACAGUAUGAGAAGUUCCUGAAGGAGGAGGUGAACAUUGCGAGGAAGAAACGCAUUCCUGACACUCGUGUCCACUGCUGCCUCUACUUCAUCUCCCCCACAGGACACUCCUUGCGACCUCUCGAUCUGGAGUUCAUGAAACACCUCAGCAAAGUUGUGAACAUCAUCCCUGUCAUUGCUAAGGCUGACACCAUGACCCUGGAGGAGAAGUCUGAAUUCAAGCAAAGGGUCCGCAAGGAGCUUGAAGUAAAUGGCAUUGAAUUCUACCCCCAGAAGGAAUUUGAUGAGGAUUUGGAGGACAAAACAGAGAAUGACAAAAUCCGGCAGGAGAGCAUGCCUUUCGCUGUGGUGGGAAGUGACAAGGAGUACCAAGUGAAUGGCAAACGAGUCCUUGGCAGAAAAACUCCCUGGGGGAUCAUUGAAGUGGAAAACCUCAACCACUGUGAGUUUGCCCUGCUUCGAGACUUUGUCAUCAGGACCCACCUCCAGGACCUCAAGGAAGUGACACAUAACAUCCACUAUGAGACGUACAGGGCCAAGCGGCUCAAUGACAACGGAGGCCUCCCUCCGGUGAGCGUGGACACAGAGGAAAGCCACGACAGUAACCCAUGAUGACCCUUUCUCUGUAUCAUCACACAUACCCACUUCUCCGCACACACACAUCCCAAAUACCACCACCAACCACCUUCUUCCUUUCUACUCUGUCCCACAGGCCUGUCUGGUAUUUGUGGAGCAUCUUGUCUACAGUGUGUGUGUGUGUGUGUGUGAGAGAGAGAGAGAGAGAGGGAGAGAGUGUACCUCUGUGUGUGUGUGCGCAGGGCUGAGGUAUUUUCAGUGCCCUCCCUGGAAAGUCCCUUGUAAGUUUGGUUCCUCCAUGGCUGUCCAUUAUCUGUCUCCUUUCCUUGUGUCCCAGAACAAAGCCGUGUGCCUCACUCAAGAGGUCUGGGGGAGGUUUCAUUUAAAAAUGAUGGGAGCAGGUGAGCCCCAGGUAACUCUUUCUUUUCUCUGAACCCGCCCACAGCCUGGGACUGUGGAGAUGCUCCAAGGACAGGCUGCGGAGCUAGACUUGGGAUGGGGGUGAGGAGGUUGGGCCUUAACCCUCCCUGUCAGCCCGGGGUGGUCUGGGGUAAGGCUGGGACUUCCUGGGAAAAGGAAGGUCAGGGAAGAGCAGAGCGGUAGGCCGGAGCUGGGCUCCUGCAGAAAGAACUAGUGUGUGGAAGUGGAGAAGAGAGCUCCACCCUUCAGUCUGUGUUGCCUUCACUGUCCAAAAGCUACCACCUGUCGCUGUCACAGACUGCUGCCUUCCACAUUCACUUUGCCUCACUUGCCUCUGCUCCCACUUUCUUUCUUUUCCCCUUCCCCUCCUUUCUUCAUCCUGCCCAUGUCUGGACUUCCUUCACUUCCUUGUAGACUAAUCCACUUUAGCUACGUUUCUCUAUGUAGGAUUGAUGCCCAGUCUACUUCCAAAAAUGACUUAGGUCACCUUAAAAUAAAAUCACAGCUGAAAGCAUAGGACAGUGCAAACUGAGAUUGUGAGACUACAGGAGGAUAGAGAGGAAUGGGCAGGAAAGUUCCUUCUGUCGAUCGCUGAAAUUGGCCCUGAGCUUGUGGGCAGCCCAGGCAAAGGAGGAAACACUGCGAGGUAUGUGGUUCCCAGUGUUCAGUUAAGGCAGCACGCUUGCUGGUCAAGUGAGACAACCCUCUUUUUAGGCAUUAAGUUCUAGAAGAACUGAGUCUAAAGAAGUAUCAAGAACUAUAUACAGUAUUUAUCUUUCUUGGUGGUUUGGCUUCAGAGACAAAUUUUAAAUGACACCUCCCUUUUCUCCAUCAGGAUUCUUCCUCCUUAAAGCUGGCUUCUCUGUUGCUCCCUUCUUCUCAUCCAUACUUGACCCCCUCUUUCCUUCCAUUCUGUUCUCUCUCACUCUUGUGCUGAAGCUAACUACAUUUUUGUCUGUCUGUCUGUCUCUGCUUUUCCCCAAUUCCUCCUCCUGACUCCUGUAGACAUUCCCAACGACACCCACAAUCAAACAUUUAGACUCUUCUUGCCUUUCCCUUCAGCCCUGUAUUUAUUAAUGCAUAUAUAUCCCCUGUUUAUUUUACAAAGGUUACUCUUUCUCUUCUAGUUUGUAAAGUGGCUGAAAUCUGGGGCUGGAGAAACAAUUUGCUCUUAGGCAAGGGAAAACACCAAGUGAUAACAGUUUACAAUAACCUCAUACAACCUCCUGUCCUAUCUCCUGGUCCAACCUUAGGUGUUUUAAUGGUCCUCUACAAAUCCCAGCAUUUAUAGUCCCUUAUCACUCAGGUGCUAGGAAAACACUAGACUGAAGACCAAGAUUCACUAGACCAGGAGAAAGAGGGAGAAGGCCUCCUGGGCACUGUCCUUCCACCUGUGCCAGCCACCCCCUGCCCCACUGCUGAAUGAAGGCCAUUUCAAGCGCUGCUUCUCCCUCCAUUCCUCUCAGCUGUAUUGCUGCGGGGCCAUGCCUUUUUUAGUGCUGUGCUUGUUCAGCCCAUCCCCUCAGCCCCUCUGAGCCCUCAGUAGGUGGGAGGGGCCAGCUGCCUCUUUAGGACAGUUGCUUCCUCCAUUUAUCCAAACCACCCCUCUUCUCCCAGUGGAAGGGAGUUCUUGCCAGCACUGCCCUCCUCCAUCGUCUGUGUCAGCCGGUCCCAGCCCAUCUGUAGGGUGAAAGAACUCAUCAAGAGCUUCUUCUGCCCUUGCAAACCCAUACCAGCUACGUGUAGCCAUCUCCAAGGGAAAUGGCAUUGCUCCCUAUCCAUUCAUCUGCAUGAGCUCCUCUUGGCUUUCUUAAAGGGUCAAGAAAGCAACUUUUCUGCUUGUCAGAUUUGUGGACGUCAGCUGUGUGAGCCCCGAUGUGGGACAAAGGUGUCUCCUUCAUUGCUUACAGCUUAUCUGUAAGGAUGGGUCACUACAGAUGUGGGGGAGCAAGGGCUAGGAUCCAUUUUUAAAAAUCACCACUUGUGGCUGGCCCAGAGUGCGGUUUCACACCCUCCCCACGCCAUAAUGCAGCCACUUAGGAAGAGUGGUUUUCCUGAAGACACAUUUCUGGAGUUAACUUUCUUAUCCUCAAACUUAAAAAAAGAACCAAACACAGACAAAAAAACUCCAGAAAUCCAUGAGAUGUGAACUCUAGGAAGAAAAACAUCCUUCUGUCCACUUAGCAAUAAGAGGGAUCUCUUCCCACCUACCCUGACUAUUCCUACCCCCCACCUCCACCCUGUGAAUGUGAGUAAUGAAUUUACCUGGCCACAGUUGGUCACUGUAGGCUAGUGGAGAAUACCCAAUGGAGGGCAAAGCCCCCAUCAGAUGCAUGAAUGUUUGCGAAUGUCGGCUGCCACUGCCCCACACACUGUGUCUUUAUGGAAUCCCCUCCCUGCCCACCCACUCCCCAUCUCCACCUGGACACAACUUGCUCAAAGGCUGGUGACUUGUGGGCCAUUCAUCUACAAGUCCUGAUGGAGCAAGAGGCCCAAGCCUAGGGGAUGCAAGAACGACCCAUUUCUUAAAUGUUACCAGUCCCAGCCAACCUUUUGGUGACAUUAUGGUUAAAUUUCCCAGUUGAAAACAAGCCAACACUCAAACUGGUUGUGUAAAUGUUGCUAGACUUUAUGUGUUGUACAACUAAACAUUGCUGUUUGAACAA